GGCCUCUGCUUGCAAGCUGCCGCGGAUAGAGGGGGGCGCGGCCCAUCAGCUUGUUGGUGAGGUAAUGGCUCACCAAGGCUACGACGCCUAGCGGGUGUUAGCGCAUGGCCCGCGCCACUGGGACUGAGACACUGCCCAGACACCUACGGGUGGCUGCAGUCGAGAAUCUUCGGCAAUGCCCGCAAGGGUGACCGAGCGACGCCGCGUGGGGGAAGAAGGCCUUCGGGUUGUAAACCCCUGUCAGGAGGGCGGAAAGGCCGGGAGGAUCUCCUCCUGGCGUUUGACCUCCCUCCAGAGGAAGCACGGGCUAAGUUCGUGCCAGCAGCCGCGGUAAGACGGACCGUGCGAACGUUGUUCGGAAUUACUGGGCUUAAAGGGCGCGUAGGCGGCUCGCUAAGUCGGUGGUGAAAGCCUCCGGCUCAACCGGAGAAGUGCUGCCGAUACUGGCGGGCUCGAGGGAGGUAGAGGUGCGUGGAACUACCGGUGGAGCGGUGAAAUGCGUUGAUAUCGGUAGGAACGCCGGUGGCGAAGGCGGCGCACUGGGCCUCACCUGACGCUGAGGCGCGAAAGCCAGGGGAGCGAACCGGAUUAGAUACCCGGGUAGUCCUGGCUGUAA
rnacentral:rRNA from 1 species